rnacentral:rRNA from 1 species
UACGGAGGGUGCAAGCGUUAAUCGGAAUUACUGGGCGUAAAGCGUGCGUAGGCGGUUCGUUAAGUCUGUUGUGAAAGCCCCGGGCUCAACCUGGGAAUGGCAAUGGAUACUGGCGAGCUAGAGUGUGUCAGAGGAUGGUGGAAUUCCCGGUGUAGCGGUGAAAUGCGCAGAUAUCAGGAAGAACACCCGUGACGAAGGCGGCUCUCUGGGACGGUACUGACGCUGAGACGCGAAAGCGUGGGUAGCGAACAGG